CUGCUGCCAAUUAAGCCAACCAUGCUACUUUCCUCUUGGAGGCCUGGUGUGCAAUGGCUGCAAAUAGCAGCCUCCCUGGUAGUGUAUGCAGCCUAUUGAUUAUAUGGGUGCUCUAAGGGACCUUGGAAAGAGUC